rnacentral:rRNA from 1 species
AAAUUGAAGAGUUUGAUCAUGGCUCAGAUUGAACGCUGGCGGCAGGCCUAACACAUGCAAGUCGGACGGUAGCACAGAGGAGCUUGCUCCUUGGGUGACGAGUGGCGGACGGGUGAGUAAUGUCUGGGGAUCUGCCCGAUAGAGGGGGAUAACCACUGGAAACGGUGGCUAAUACCGCAUAACGUCGCAAGACCAAAGAGGGGGACCUUCGGGCCUCUCACUAUCGGAUGAACCCAGAUGGGAUUAGCUAGUAGGCGGGGUAAUGGCCCACCUAGGCGACGAUCCCUAGCUGGUCUGAGAGGAUGACCAGCCACACUGGAACUGAGACACGGUCCAGACUCCUACGGGAGGCAGCAGUGGGGAAUAUUGCACAAUGGGCGCAAGCCUGAUGCAGCCAUGCCGCGUGUAUGAAGAAGGCCUUCGGGUUGUAAAGUACUUUCAGCGGGGAGGAAGGCGGUGCGGUUAAUAACCGCGUCGAUUGACGUUACCCGCAGAAGAAGCACCGGCUAACUCCGUGC